UCAACUAAUGCUGGUUGUUCUGCUUGGACCUGCAGUUGUAAAAGUCGUCACCUCGCUGUCGUCAUGGAAAAGUGACCUCACUGAAAUCAGCAGCAAGAAAACAAAACGUUCAUCCAGAAGAGGUUGUGCAGAAGUUUGAACCCUGUCUGGAAUUGAUGGUUUAUGAUUUCAUGGAGCACCUCAGCAGCACAGUGAGUAACUCUCUUUCUGAACUGUAAGUACUGAGUGUGGAUUAAAACUAUUAUUUCACAUGUUAACAGUUCUUGUUAAGACUAACAGUUCCCACCUCCUUCUACCUUACCUGGAGUUUUCUCUAUCCUCAGAAGAGUGUUGGUUACGUAGGUCUCCUCAGCAUUACUCAGUUCACACGUGUAGAUCCCGUCUUGAUCUGAAGAUAAGUCUUUUAGCGUGAGGCUGCCUGACUCGGACACACUCUUCACCUGCUGCCUCCACUCCUCUGAGACUGUGUAGGGGACGUGGUCUCCGGUCUGGGUCAGGAUGAUCUGACUGUGGUUGAACCUCCAAACGAGGCCUGUUAGU